AGUGCGACAGGCCAUUCUCCAUAGGUGCGAAGGGCCAAAAUUGACAUGACAACGCCAAUCCUUCAAUGGUCAUCCGCUCCUCCCGACCGAUCAGAACCCACGGAGCGGCUAAGCGGCGAGAGCCAGACAUACUCGUAUUUUUGGUGUUAAAAUGGAUAUAGCUGCAUUUUAUUAUGAUUAUUAUGAUUUUCGUCAGGCAGCGGACAGAGGGCUUUGGCCACCGGGAAAAAAGUACAAAUCAUUGACGAGUGAGCGGCACUAAACUCAUCAGCGGAGGAAGCGAUGGAAGGGGUACUUGGUAUUCUGAGGAAGAAGUGCCGACCGCUGGAGAUGGAGAUGGCCAAGAAGUAACCGGUAGCAACGGUAGCCGAUCGCCAAAGCCGAGUGAGUGCCAAGCCGCGUUAAUGGCCGGGCCAACUGCGUGAAGGGGGGCAACUGCUUUGGGGGGAGGACUACCAUGGAUGGGGGCUCAAUGAGAAUUCCGUGCAUUUGCAAUCGCACUUGGCCAGCGACUACGUCCGGUCGCCGAUGGGUUAGGAGCUGAAGAAGACUCCAGAUGUGAGAUGCAGUGAAACCCAGUAAUACUGCAAGCAGUGUGAAAUGAUCUGUUUACAUCAUAAACAAUAUCCAUCCACAUUUAAUGUGUAAUAUUUUGGAAAAAAAUGGCUUGUGUUUUCUGGGUCAAACUGUACAAGUAUAUU
ensembl:ncRNA lncRNA:TS14 long noncoding RNA: testis-specific 14